rnacentral:rRNA from 1 species
AGCUCCAAUAGCAUAUGUUUAAGUUGUUGCAGUUGAAAAGCUCGUAGUUGGAUCUCUGUCAAGCUUACACGGUCUGCCUCUGGUGUGUACUGUGUAUCGUUUGACAUUAUUCGACGGCUCUAGGACGCUUUACUGCGUCUUGUGGGUUGUCGGAGCUGAUACUUUGAGAAAAUUAGAGUGCUCAAAGCAGGCGCUAGCCUUGGAUACUGCAGCAUGGGAUAUCAUUAUAGGACUUGGGUCCUAUCUUGUUGGUUCUCGGGAUUCAAGUAAUGAUUAAUAGGGAUAGUUGGGGGCAUUCGUAUUUAACUGUCAGAGGUGAAAUUCUUGGAUUUGUUAAAGACGAACUACUGCGAAAGCUUCUCGCCAAGGAUGUUUUCA